CCAUACGCGUGAGAAUCUAGCUUCAGGUCGGGGACAACCACUGGAAACGGUGGCUAAUACCGGAUGUGCCGAGAGGUGAAAGGCUUGCUGCCUGAAGAUGAGCUCGCGUCUGAUUAGCUAGUUGGUGGGGUAAGAGCCUACCAAGGCGACGAUCAGUAGCUGGUCUGAGAGGAUGAUCAGCCACACUGGGACUGAGACACGGCCCAGACUCCUACGGGAGGCAGCAGUGGGGAAUUUUCCGCAAUGGGCGAAAGCCUGACGGAGCAAUACCGCGUGAGGGAGGAAGGCUCUUGGGUUGUAAACCUCUUUUCUCAGGGAAGAAAACAAUGACGGUACCUGAGGAAUAAGCAUCGGCUAACUCCGUGCCAGCAGCCGCGGUAAUACGGAGGAUGCAAGCGUUAUCCGGAAUGAUUGGGCGUAAAGCGUCCGCAGGUGGCUAUGAAAGUCUGCUGUUAAAGAGCAAGGCUCAACCUUGUAAAGGCAGUGGAAACUACAUGGCUAGAGUGCGUUCGGGGCAGAGGGAAUUCCUGGUGUAGCGGUGAAAUGCGUAGAGAUCAGGAAGAACACCGGUGGCGAAAGCGCUCUGCUAGGCCGCAACUGACACUGAGGACGGAAAGGUAUGU
rnacentral:rRNA from 1 species